CAGCACCACGGUAAUACGGAGGGUGCAAGCGUUAAUCGGAAUUACUGGGCGUAAAGCGCACGCAGGCGGUCUGACAAGUCAGAUGUGAAAUCCCCGGGCUUAACCUGGGAACUGCAUUUGAAACUGUCAGGCUGGAGUCUUGUAGAGGGGGGUGGAAUUCCAGGUGUAGCGGUGAAAUGCGUAGAGAUCUGGAGGAAUACCGGUGGCGAAGGCGGCCCCCUGGACAAAGACUGACGCUCAGGUGCGAAAGCGUGGGGAGCAAACAGGAUUAGAUACCCCUGUAGUCCCUGUCUCUUAUACC
rnacentral:rRNA from 1 species